CCGGGUCUCCUCGCUUGUCUCUUCCAACUCCACCGCCACGUCGGUACCACCCUGAUCAGUUUGAAACACCCGCUUAUUUCUUUCCUCGUUUCCUCUUUAUUUCUCGAUUCUGCCCUUGUUUGGGCAUGAAUGGGGGGGCGGGCGGCAUCGUAGCACCAGCGGCACUGGUCGCUCAUCUUCAAGGGGAUAUAACUCCAGCAAUAGAGUCCCAGCAGGGUGAGGAAUAAGGAUGAGAAAUGAGGACUAGAAUCUUCGUUUCCCCUCGAAGUCCAACGCCCCACUCGCAUAACUCCUUUCUGGGACACUCGCCCGUAGCGUAGCACAAGCGGGGAAGGGCCGGGAGAGCGUGCGCUCGCGUCUGAGCCUGGCGGCGGAGGCUGGCCAUUAGGUCCACACGGACGCAGGACACCGCCCUCGGGGACCCGCCAGGGGCCAGAGCAAGCCAGCCCUGCUGCUGCGGGGGCCACGCGGGAGAGACUUUUGACACAAGCCACCGUUUUGUUUUCAAAGAAGAAAUUCAGACCCAUGAGGCUUGUCUAUGAAUCCCAAGUUAAGCACUUCUGCUUUUAGAGAAGAGAAAUGCAACAAACUGAGGAUGGCACUUCUAAAGUUGUCCUUCUACUCUGAACCUGUUUCUUCUCUGUACAAAGGGAAUACAUACCUACAACCCUGUCUGGCACCUGAGUACAACUUCUGGGACUGCGGAAGAGCAUUUGUUUUGAAAGUCAAGCUUUGUGGAUGGAGAAUGUCCUUAGCACCUACUGAGAGCUGUCCUGUGGACCAGAUCAUAAUAAAGGUGGAGACAAAAGCAAAGGGCCUUGUGCCCUGCACCCCUUCAGAUCCCUAGGAGGUUGGCACAUCCAACUGGCUGGCUCAUCUGCCAUGGCGCUUCCCUGAAGAAGUGGGCUUGACACAUGGGCGCCGAGGCAGCUCCCAGCUCUCCACAGCCUGCAGGAGGUGUGCAGGGAGCCAGAAGUCCUUAAGGAGCCCACUGAAGAAAUUCAGAGAUUCUGGGAGGACAGAGAACUAUUUGGAGCCUGAGGUCAGGAUGAAGAAGCGGCAGAGUGAGGAAACACUGGAAGCACCAGGCUGGAGUCAGGUUGUAGACAACCGAAUGAUGUUCCCAGGGGGCAGGUGAUGGGCCUGUUGAGCCCCAGCAGUCAACAGUGUAGGUCACAGAGCAGACCUUUAUUGUGUGGAGGCCUGGGACCUGGAGGGAAGGCGGAGACAGGGACACCAACUAGAGGAGACGACUGUCCUUAGACAGGGAAGGCACUGGUUCAGUGAAUCCAGGGGGAACAUAAUAGCCCUGUGAGGUACGGUGUGGUUUUAUGUUGUGGCUAAAGAAGCUGCAGCUGCUAAAGUUGAGGGUAAUUUACCCAAGUUCAUCCCGGGACUAGCAGACUCAGGGCGAAAUUCAGCGUUUAACUCCAGCAGUGCAUCCAGGUGCUCAAUGUCACUUUCUCUGCUUCUUUGAAGCUUUUUGGUUUCUACUUUUAGUUGUCUUGUUUAAUUUUGAACGAUGCCCAGAAUUCUUCCAAGAUACACACUCCAAACGAAUAAAAUGCAGUGUGGUUUGUGCUGUGGUAACGACUCGAUCAAUUACCUUUUAAUAAAAAUGCUGUAGUAAUCCCCAAUGAAAAGCUCCACACCGGAUAAAAGUGGCAACUGGAGGAACCGCUGCCUAGUUUUCCCUGUUGAUUUGAUGACUCCCUCAUUUAGAGCUUAUUGGAUUUACAUUUUAGACUCCAAACUCAAAAGGAAAUAGUGAAAUGUAGCAGAAUGUUGAAUUUUCAAAUGUAUCAUACUUGAUGCACUUUCCAUUUUUCUGUGUUUUGCAUAUAGUCAGAGGCUAUGAUAAAGAUCUAGCUUAAUAGUUAUAAUAGUUCCCUCAUUAAUUAUCCCAAACAGAAAGUGUUACCAAAAGAAACUUCAUUCCUUAAUCAGGAUUUUGUCAUAAUUUAAGUUUUUCUUGAGAGUUAAAAAGAUAUACAUUUGUCACAAGGAAAAACGAACAAAGGAAGAGGUGGUGAAGGCAUUAGCUCUCGGCCGGAGAAGGAGGCAUCUACGUUGCCUGCGGUUCUGACCCGGAGCCGGGAGCGGAGGGAGCCAGGUAGUUAGUUCCAGCCUAUCACAGGCCAGAACGUAUUGACUUGAGGUUCCCCAUCUCUUUCUGCCAGCAUUUCCCCCAUACUUUCAACUGCACAACCUGCAAGACCAGAGUGGAGGGAGGUGCAUGAAUAUGUGUUCACAUUAUAUAUUUAAUUGGGUUUAAAAUCUCAUCAGUGUUCUAUGUAUUUUGCCUAUAAAUACGAGGCGAAGGGUUACUGUUGGGAAUUAUGCUGAGAUUUACGUA